rnacentral:rRNA from 1 species
AUUGAACGCUGGCGGCAUGCUUUACACAUGCAAGUCGAACGGUAACAGGCCUUCGGGUGCUGACGAGUGGCGAACGGGGGAGUAAUGCAUCGGAACGUGCCCAGAGGUGGGGGAUAACGCAGCGAAAGCUGUGCUAAUACCGCAUGUGAUCUGAGGAUGAAAGCGGGGGACCAAGCAGCAAUGUUUGGCCUCGCGCCUCUGGAGCGGCCGAUGUCAGAUUAGGUAGUUGGUGGGGUAAAGGCCUACCAAGCCGACGAUCUGUAGCUGGUCUGAGAGGACGACCAGCCACACUGGGACUGAGACACGGCCCAGACUCCUACGGGAGGCAGCAGUGGGGAAUUUUGGACAAUGGGCGCAAGCCUGAUCCAGCAAUGCCGCGUGCGGGAAGAAGGCCUUCGGGUUGUAAACCGCUUUUGUACGGAACGAAAAGGCUCUGGCUAAUACCUGGGGCUGAUGACGGUACCGUAAGAAUAAGCACCGGCUAACUACGUG